AUUGAACGCUGGCGGCAUGCUUUACACAUGCAAGUCGAACGGUAACAGGCCGCAAGGUGCUGACGAGUGGCGAACGGGUGAGUAAUGCAUCGGAACGUGCCCAGUCGUGGGGGAUAACUACUCGCAAGAGUAGCUAAUACCGCAUACGAUCUACGGAUGAAAGCGGGGGACCGUAAGGCCUCGCGCGAUUGGAGCUGCCGAUGUCAGAUUAGGUAGUUGGUGGGGUAAAGGCUCACCAAGCCAACGAUCUGUAGCUGGUCUGAGAGGACGACCAGCCACACUGGGACUGAGACACGGCCCAGACUCCUACGGGAGGCAGCAGUGGGGAAUUUUGGACAAUGGGCGCAAGCCUGAUCCAGCAAUGCCGCGUGCAGGAAGAAGGCCUUCGGGUUGUAAACUGCUUUUGUACGGAACGAAACGGCUCUGGUUAAUACCCGGGGCUAAUGACGGUACCGUAAGAAUAAGCACCGGCUAACUACGUG
rnacentral:rRNA from 1 species